rnacentral:lncRNA from 1 species
CGGAGAGGAGAUUAACAUCAAGGAGCCCACAUUUGCAAUAGCGGGUGGUGCUGGGGGAAUGGGGGGGAGAGGCGAGGGGAAAAUAAAAUAAAAGCAACAAUCGGGUAAAUGCUCGUCUCUUCUCGCCACCAGCACCUUGCACAGGUCUGAAAUCGCUUGUUUUGCUUUGCUGUAUUGCGCUUGCCUGGGCUGUGGAGAGGGGAGGGGGAGGGGAGGAAGGGGGAGGUUUAACUUUUACUUGACAUUACCGGGUUAUUGUCACUUCCCCCGUGUUAAACCCCGGUGGUUUCCCCUCGCCCCCACCCCCUCCCCGUGCUCGGCUCCCUCCACUUAACUUUGUUCAAAGGGCUGCAGCCAGGAGGGCUUGUCCGGGCCUGGGACACAGAUAGCGUAAAGUAAAUAACCACCACAAUUAGGCUGGGGCCGGGAGUUGAUCUUCGUGGCGAGAGAUCUGCUUAGUUAGCGUUUGCUGUUUCGGGGCGAUUGAAGGCCGCCGUGCCAAGGACAGCGCACGCACACACACACACACGCACACACACACACACACUCACUCUUACACACGCACGCUGGAUACAAAAGUCUGGAGGAUCUAGGGGAGAAUUGCAGCCGCCGGAUCGGUGCAGCAGCGGCGCCAAGCUGCGUGCACGCCCUCCUGAGGGGUAGAAGGAAGGAGAGGAGAAGGAGAAAAAAAAAAAAAAAGAAGAAAGAAAGAAGGAAAAAAAAAAAGAAAAGAGGGAGAAAGGAAAGCAGAAGAAAGACGCGGGGUGGUGGAAAGUGUUUGCCUGCUUUUGUCUCGCAAUACAGUGAACUGGAAGAUGGAGAUGGAUGUUAAGGGAGUUUCUCCGUGCCCGGAGCCAUCCCCGGCGGCGUGGUCGGCGGCUGCCCGCACCAGCGCCGCACCACCGCGAUGGGCAGCCCGCGGAGCCGGCCCCGCCGCCUACAGCGGCCACCCGGAGCGGAGGCACGCGGCGAGAAAGAGGACAAAAAGGCAUCUGCACUGAAGCGUUCUGGAUUUCAUUGGGCAUGGUGCCUGAUAGUGAUUACAAAAUCUGCUGCUGAAGCAACUCCUAAAGGAGGUGGCAGACCUAUGGUUGUGGAUCCUUUGCACAUAUAAAUGUUAUUGUGUGUGUCUGUUUGACCAUGGUAGGGUAUUUCAUGUAUUAUAGAAACCAGUUUUGUACCUCCAGACUCAAUGUCACUCUCACAAUAGAUCCUUCCUUUCAAACAUAUUUUCUCUCAUUUGAGCCUUUAAAAAAAAGAGGAAAAAAGAAAACUUGAAAAAUUGUAACUUUUUAUGAAAAAUAUACAUGAUUGUCACCUUCUGGGGAAAAGGGGAACUUUUACUGUGUCCGCUGUUGUUAUAAGUGAAAUGUGGUGUACAGCAUGCUAAGUAACUGCUCAGUUAAAUGUCAGUGUGAACCUAGAAAUCCUCAGCAGAGGAAAAAAUAAAUAUUUUUAUUUUCUCUGAAAGCUUCCCUGU